UAUUAUAAAAUUAAAAUUGGGGUUUCCGAACUCGAGAGAGGACAAGGACGACGAUGACGACGAUAAAGCCGCAAAGAAAUUGAAAAGUGGAUUUGGAUUUAUUGAAGCGGAGUUUUGCGAUCUCAAUACUGUUAGUUGCAGUGUUAUAAAGCGAAUUUGAGUUUUGAAGUUUGAGACUCGGGCGAUGGCGCAAGGGAACGGAAAGGGAAGUGAUGAGCAACAGCAACAAUAUCGGGAAUUUCAAGGAGACAAAAAUUUUCAAACUAAUACAGUUCAUUCCAUUUUAGCUGUGGCUUUAUGGCUGGGAGCUAUCCACUUCAAUGUCCUUUUGGUCGUUGUCUCCUUCCUUUUCUUCCCUCUCUCCAUAUUGGUUAUUGUGUUGGGAUUGCUAUUAGUCUUUAUGUUUGUUCCUAUUGAUCAGCAUAGCAAAUUUGGCAAACGCUUGUCCAGGUACAUCUGUAAGCAUGCAUGCAAUUAUUUUCCUGUCACUCUACAUGUUGAAGAUUUCAAUGCCUUCCAUCCCGAUCGUGCUUACGUUUUUGGUUAUGAGCCUCAUUCAGUUUUGCCAAUUGGGGUUGUUUCACUUGCUGACAAUACAGGGUUCAUGCCUCUCCCAAAAAUAAAGGUCCUUGCUAGCAGCGCUGUUUUCUACACACCGUUUAUGAGGCAUAUAUGGACAUGGUUGGGCCUUACACCAGCAACAAAGAAAAAUUUCACUUCUCUAUUGGCUGCUGGUUAUAGUUGCAUCAUAGUGCCUGGUGGAGUACAGGAGACAUUUCUCAUGGAGCAUAAUUCAGAGAUUGUCUUUCUUAAGGCAAGAAGAGGAUUUGUUCGCAUUGCCAUAGAGAUGGGUCGGCCCCUGGUUCCAGUGUUUUGUUUUGGUCAGUCAUAUGUGUAUAAGUGGUGGAAGCCAGGUGGGAAGUUGUUCCUCCAGUUUGCUAGAGCCAUUAAAUUCACCCCCAUUUACUUCUGGGGACUUUUUGGAAUUCUGUAAGUUGAGGCUAGCCAAUUAGAAAAUAGAUCUCCUCUACCCUAUCAACAUCCAAUGCAUGUAGUGGUGGGCAAACCAAUAGAAGUUAAGAAAAAUCCACAACCUACAAUGGAAGAGGUGAAUGAAGUACACAAACAAUUUGUUGAAGCACUUCAAGAUCUGUUUGAAAGACAUAAAGCAGGGGUUGGCUAUCCCGAUCUUAAGUUAAAAAUUCUUUGAUCAGGUUGUAACAUAUCAAAAUGCUGGCUCACCUUUGAUUAAUUAGGUUUAUAUGUGUGCCAUCUUCCUUUUUUAUACAGAACACUGUACUUGACUCAUGACAUUGUAUUUAAUGAGCUAAGGAAGAACAUAGAUCUUUAAAUGCC